rnacentral:rRNA from 1 species
UACAGAGGGUGCAAGCGUUGUUCGGAAUUACUGGGCGUAAAGCGCGUGUAGGCGGCCUGCUAAGUCUCGUGUGAAAGCCCCGGGCUCAACCCGGGAAGUGCGCGAGAUACUGGCUGGGCUUGAGUGGUGGAGAGGGUGGCGGAAUUCCCGGUGUAGAGGUGAAAUUCGUAGAUAUCGGGAGGAACACCUGUGGCGAAGGCGGCCACCUGGACAUUCACUGACGCUGAGACGCGAAAGCGUGGGUAGCAAACAGG